GCCGCGGUGGCGGAACUGGCAGACGCACUAGCUUCAGGAGCUAGCGUUCGCAAGGACAUGGGAGUUCGAAUCUCCCCCGCGGCACUA
rnacentral:tRNA from 4 species